GAUGAACGCUAGCUAUAGGCUUAACACAUGCAAGUCGAGGGGAAACGGCAUUAUGUGCUUGCACAUUUUGGACGUCGACCGGCGCACGGGUGAGUAUCGCGUAUCCAACCUGCCCUUUACUUGGGGAUACCCCGUUGAAAGACGGCCUAAUACCCGAUGUAAUUCAUUGAUGGCAUCAGAUAUGAAUAAAAGAUUUAUCGGUAAAGGAUGGGGAUGCGUCUGAUUAGCUUGUUGGUGAGGUAACGGCUCACCAAGGCGACGAUCAGUAGGGGUUCUGAGAGGAAGGUCUCCCACAUUGGAACUGAGACACGGUCCAAACUCCUACGGGAGGCAGCAGUGAGGAAUAUUGGUCAAUGGGCGCAAGCCUGAACCAGCCAAGUAGCGUGCAGGAAGACGGCCCUAUGGGUUGUAAACUGCUUUUAUACGAGAAUAAUUUGAUGCACGUGUGCGUUAUUGCAUGUAUCGUAUGAAUAAGGACCGGCUAAUUCCGUG
rnacentral:rRNA from 1 species